UAAUGGUGCCUUUUAAUUUUUGAUUGAAACCUUUAUAUUUUUUAACCUUACAAAUCCCUUUUCUAAACAAAACCCCAAAGCUCCUCUCUGCUAGGUUUUCACCCAAACAUGACGCCGGACCACCACCAUAUUUGGUAGCCGAUGGUGUGAAAAGAAAUGGCAUGAGAUCAUUACUAUGAAGGCCUGAAAAUAAGAGGGAGAGUUCUAUCAAACGAGAAAGCAAGAAAGCAAAGGGCAUCAACCCAAUUUUGGGUUCGGAUCCAAUGACGGAGGGGACCCCCGAUGACACGGCCACAAGGUUCCGGGUGUCAGAGGUGUGCCAGGCGGUGGCGUGUGGGCAUGCUGGCACGGCGCACAUGGGCAGCGGCGCAUAGCUGCUAGGGUUUCUGACCCUUUUUCUUUUGCUGAAAAUGUUAAGCUUUGGGCCAUUUUGGGCUUGUUCUAGUUUUGGGUCAAUUUGUAAAAUUUUGGGUUUAAUGGGUUGUUAAAAACUUGGAAUUUUUAUUUAUUUUGUGCUUUUGGUUUUUGUUAGUUUGGGCCCGAGCCAAAAUUGGGCUCUUCAAUAUAUAUAUUUCAAACA